GAUGAACGCUGGCGGCGUGCCUAAUACAUGCAAGUCGAGCGAACAGACGAGGAGCUUGCUCCUCUGACGUUAGCGGCGGACGGGUGAGUAACACGUGGAUAACCUACCUAUAAGACUGGGAUAACUUCGGGAAACCGGAGCUAAUACCGGAUAAUAUAUUGAACCGCAUGGUUCAAUAGUGAAAGACGGUUUUGCUGUCACUUAUAGAUGGAUCCGCGCCGCAUUAGCUAGUUGGUAAGGUAACGGGUUACCAAGGCAACGAUGCGUAGCCGACGUGAGAGGGUGGUAGGCCACACUGGAACUGGGACACGGUCCAGACUCCUACGGGAGGCAGCAGUAGGGAAUCGUCCGCAAUGGGCGAAAGCCUAACGGAGCAACGCGGCGUGAGUGGUGAAGGUCUUGUGAUCGUAAAACUCUGUUAUUAGGUAAGAACAAAUGUGUAAGUAACUAUGCACGUCUUGACGGUACCUAAUCAGAAAGCCACGGCUAACUACGUG
rnacentral:rRNA from 1 species